rnacentral:rRNA from 1 species
CCUACGGGAGGCAGCAGUGGGGAAUUUUGGACAAUGGGCGCAAGCCUGAUCCAGCAAUGCCGCGUGAGUGAAGAAGGCCUUCGGGUUGUAAAGCUCUUUUGUCAGGGAAGAAACGGUGAGCUCUAAUACAGUUUGCUAAUGACGGUACCUGAAGAAUAAGCACCGGCUAACUACGUGCCAGCAGCCGCGGUAAUACGUAGGGUGCAAGCGUUAAUCGGAAUUACUGGGCGUAAAGCGUGCGCAGGCGGUUUUGUAAGUCUGUCGUGAAAUCCCCGGGCUCAACCUGGGAAUGGCGAUGGAGACUGCAAGGCUAGAGUUUGGCAGAGGGGGGUAGAAUUCCACGUGUAGCAGUGAAAUGCGUAGAUAUGUGGAGGAACACCGAUGGCGAAGGCAGCCCCCUGGGUCAAAACUGACGCUCAUGCACGAAAGCGUGGGGAGCAAACAGGAUUAGAUACCCUGGUAGUCCACGCCCUAAACGAUGUCUACUAGUUGUCGGGUCUUAAUUGACUUGGUAACGCAGCUAACGCGUGAAGUAGACCGCCUGGGGAGUACGGUCGCAAGAUUAAAACGUCAAAGGAAUUGACGG